CGCAUCUGUGCAUGCAGCAUAUCAAUAAGCGGAGGAAAAGAAACUAACAAGGAUUCCCCUAGUAACGGCGAGUGAAGCGGGAAGAGCUCAAAUUUGAAAUCUUAAAGGGUUUCCCUUUACGAAUUGUAGUUUAAAGAAGUGUUUUCUGUUGAGGUUUUGGUAAAAGUUCUUUGGAAUAGGACAUCGAUAGAGGGUGAGAAUCCCGUAUUUGACCUUUACUUUCAACUUUGUGAUACACUUUCAAAGAGUCGGAUUGUUUGGGAAUGCAGUCCAAAAUGGGUGGUAAAUUUCAUCUAAAGCUAAAUAUUGGCGAGAGACCGAUAGCGAACAAGUACCGUGAGGGAAAGAUGAAAAGAACUUUGAAAAGAGAGUUAAACAGUACGUGAAAUUGUCAAAAGGGAAGCGUUUGACACCAGUGUUGUUUUUCUGAAAAUCAAUUAAAGAACUGUUUAUGCUAAGCUGUUUAGACUUUAUCAGCUAACUGUUUAGUUUUGAGCUUUCUUUAAUGCACUUUUCAGUUAACAAGUCAACAUCGAUUUCUUUUGCUGUAAAAAAGCUUGAGGAAGGUGGCUUGAGAUUCGUCUUAAGUGUUUAUAGCCUCUUGCCUAUGCAGUCGGAGAGAUUGAGGUCUGCAGCGUAGAUCCUUCGGGGCUAAAUGCAUUUGUGCUAAGUUAUAGCAUUUUAUAGACAACUUGUUGACUAUGAUUUGUCUUGUAGCUUACUCGCUUAUGUUAUUUUACCUACGCUUAGGAUGUUGAGCGCAUGUCUCUCUCU
rnacentral:rRNA from 1 species